UUUGCUCCUUCCGGGCCCUCCCCACCCCUCCUCGGGGCUGUACUCAUUCACCCCGUUGGUGUUGACUCUUCAAAGACCCCUCCUGGGCUUCCCCUAAGUACUGGGGUUGAACUCAGGACCUUGUGCUUGCCAGGGAAGAAAAAUUCUUUAAGCAAAAAGGAAGGUUCAAUAAUCCAUUUGCACAAACAGUAAGAAUGCCAGAGGAGGAGCUAAAUUUUCCAGACCUUCAGAAAAACUGACAAACUGAUUCAAGCUUGAACUUUCAGAUCUGACAUCCUUAUGAAAUGCUUUUGAUACUGUUUUGGAAAUGUUCAUUACAACUGAAGCCUCUAAGCCUGCUCCUACUACCCUAGG